CGGAGGUGCGACCCGAGCCGCUCCGCCCCGCUGGAGGCUGGAGGCGGCCCCUUGGGCGGAAGCGGGGCCACUUCAUCCGGCCCGGCUCGGUCUGUGUCCGCCGCCGCGGCAGCAGCUCCGGUGUCUUCUCCCAAGCACCCUCCGAGGCCCAUGCGGGGACGCUGCUGUGGCCUCGGGCCUCGUAUCCUCGUCUGCACGCUGGACUUAAGCACUUAAGCAUUUUUAGGUGACUUUUGGCAGGAGCUCAGUCGGAACUCGUACCUCGCUUUCACAAACCCGCGGUUUUUACCGCCCCAAGUUAUGAAAGACUCUUCUCCCAUCUUCAAGUGUGUGCUGCACGUAAGCAACUACAGGAUAAAGUACUUGUAUUCUGAAUGUUCCACUUACCUAAGUCACAGGAAAGUGUUUCAACAGUAGCUGGUCAGCAAAGUGGUGGAAGUUUACUCAAAACCCACAAAUCCAUCAUCAACACAAAUGUGAGUUGAAUUACGGUCUAUGGAACAAUACUGUCCUUCAGAGGCAUCUGGUCAUCUCAGUACAGCAAUGAAGAAGAUGAAAGAGUCAAUUCAAACUUUCAGGCUAAGAUUGACAAGUUGAAAAAUGUUUAUUCUAAACUAUGAAAUGUAACAUUGAGAAUAACUUAACUGUGAACUGAAUGAACUGGGGGCAGCUGGGAUGCUCCUGGGAGCUGAGAACCCCUGUGUUACAGCUCACCCCAAGUGACUGCAGCUAACUACAGGUAUUAAUAAACCUUAGUAUGUAUUUUA